CUCCGGAAGACUGCUAUGGGAACUUCAUGUCUUCAGCCGGUAAAACUUUGAAGCAAGGGCAAUAUUUUGGUCCCACCCAAAUGAUACAAUGAUAUACUCCAAUUGAAUUUUAGUAUCAAUUUUAACAUCCUCUUCUAAUAAGAGAAAGACUAAAACUAGAACACAGUAGGAACUUCUCAGUACUUGUAGUUAAAACUUUCAAAGGAAGGGCGGCAUUGAUCGUGAGCCUGUGCAAACAGGCAAAUGCCUAUUAAACAUCUAUUGCAUCCACAAAAACAAGGGAAAGGUAUUUCUGGUCUUCUACAGCACUAUCGGAACGUCUCGGCCGGUAAAUUGCCUUGUCAGUUUUAGGUUACUUUUCAAAGCACGGUUCCUAAAUUUGUUGUGAAUAUUCCCAAGACGUCUCUAAAUUUGGAACUGAUGUUAGGCGCGGAACGUGCAAAGCCAACUUCGCAAGUUGCGAACUCGGAGGUACGGAACUAAAAUACCGAACAUAAACUCGUAUUUUGCAGUGUUUUACUAGCCAACAAAUUUGACAAGUUUUUUUAUUAAAGUUUUUAAGAAAAACGAGUUUAUGUUCAGUACUUCGGUACUUUUGUUCAUUACUUCGGUACUUUAGUAAGCACCUCGCGAUGUUGGUCUCGCAAGUUCCGCACCCAAAUUUAACAGCUGAUCCGGAUUAGUGUAUGCUUCUAUAAACAAGGGAAGAUUAAAAACUAAUCCAGCAUAACAGCAAAAAAGCAAGUUGUAGUUGCUUCCAGCACGAUGAGUACUCCGAUGACAACCAAUGGUGAAAUCACUGUUGAAGGGAAAUGAUUCCAGGAGUCGUCCCAUGCACUAUUAUUAAUCUUGCUUACAUUCAGUACCAUUUGUAUUUCUGUCUGGAUAGCUCUAGCUAACAGUUCUAAGCCAUGCAUUCAGUUGUGGAAGGGGGCUCAACCCUGCUCAGGUACCUUAAAAUAUCCUUUCAGUUUGGGAGGUAACCCCCCCCCUCCCCCUCCUCUUAAGAUUCAUUAUUAAGACAGAAAUAAACUUUUAUAGUAUAAUAAACAUUUACCAAUUUAAUAAGAUUUACCAAGUUAAUAAUUCAGAAAUACAGUUGUCCUCAUUUAUUUCCAUUCAAUGUUUGAAGGUCAGAUCAGUAAUACUAAUUUUCCUUGUAUUCAGGAACGAAUUCUGAGUCGUGAUUAUAUUGCAGGAAUCUAUACUAUAGCCACAGCUACAGUCACAGACUGGAAAACGAAAUGGUAUAUAUGUUCACUAAAGCCCCAAUCAAAACGAGGAUGAGAGUUGGCAGGCGAUUUGCUCUGCCAGGGGGUUGUACCAAUAUACUGGCUAACAUUGACCAUUACUGACUGGCUCAAUAUACCAGAAAACCUAUACAAUUCUCCUAGUCAGUAUACAGACGCUCGGAAAUAAAGCUAAUGUUAAAACAAUAAAUAUAGAAUAUACAACUAUUUACGGGUACACGUAUGGAAUCCAUUUGUUAAGUUAAGGUGUCGCAAAAACUCCUCACCCUAUUGUCUCGUAUGCGCCUGUUUCGUACGCGCUUAUGCAUGAGCAAUUUUGACCAAGACUUAACUACUGUGCCAUCAAUUCAUUAUUACAAUGUCAGUGAAGGUGACCAUGCAUAUAUACCCCUUCCUUAACAUUUUCCUUGUUGCAUGGUUUCUAAUAUACAAAGUAUAAUGCCAAUAUAUACCGUAACCAAGAGGAGUGUCCAAUCACGCGUUGUGCACAUGAUUCGGCUAAUUAAAUAAUUAAUAAAUUACAGAGUUAUCUUUGCAAAAUCCAUCUUCAUGUAAUUAUCAAGAUUUUUUUAUGUAUGUUAUGGCUAUACCAGACAAAACAAUUUAUGAAUCUUGUUGCUAAAUAUUAA